AGUUCUGACACGGGGUGCUCCGCAUGGGCGGGGCUGAGAACACACCCGGGAACCUGAUCAGGUAAUGCUGACGAAGGGAUGUCAUGGCUACUACGC
rnacentral:ncRNA from 2 species